rnacentral:rRNA from 1 species
GAUGAACGCUAGCGGCAGGCCUAAUACAUGCAAGUCGGACGGGAUUGGAGAGCUUGCUUUCCAUGAGAGUGGCGCACGGGUGCGUAACACGUAUGUAACCUACCUUUAUCAGGGGAUAGCCUCUCGAAAGAGAGAUUAAGCCCGCAUAACAUCACGAUACAGCAUUGUAAUGUGAUCAAAUAUUUAUAGGAUAGAGAUGGGCAUGCGGAACAUUAGCUAGUUGGUAAGGUAAUGGCUUACCAAGGCUACGAUGUUUAGGGGAUCUGAGA